GCUCUUGUAGUUCAAUGGAUAGAAUGGAUGACUACGAAUCAUUUGAUUGGAGUUCGAAUCUCCACGAGAGCG
rnacentral:tRNA from 1 species